rnacentral:rRNA from 1 species
UACGAAGGGGGCUAGCGUUGUUCGGAAUUACUGGGCGUAAAGCGCGCGCAGGCGGUUUUUCAAGUCAGUGGUGAAAGCCCGGAGCUCAACUCCGGAACUGCCAUUGAAACUGUAAAACUUGAGGACGAGAGAGGUGAGUGGAAUUCCCAGUGUAGAGGUGAAAUUCGUAGAUAUUGGGAAGAACACCGAUGGCGAAGGCAGCCAUCUGGACCGACACUGACGCUGAGGCGCGAAAAGCGUGGGGGAGCAA